CAUCAGCUGACAUAUAACUUCAGAUUUAAAUCCUGUUCUUGCUGUUGGCUACUGUCUUCAUCAUUAAAAGGGGCUCGACAGAUUCCUUUACAUGAAGAAUUUUUGUCUGGGAUUGAAAAUGCUGUCCUUGCAUCCAAACAUUUCUUAGUUUCUGCUUUCAUCCCCUACUCAAAAACGAAUGAAUUUGUAUCAGCAUUCAGGCUCAGCAUCAGGAAAAUGCUCUGCCUGUUGUGAAUGCCGGAAUGAGGGUUUCCUUUAAACCAGGCUCAGAUGUUAUUACAGACUUCAGCAUUUUUAAUGGAGGCACUGCUUCUACCACAAUCUGUGCAAAGAAAUGUUGUCAAUCGCUCAU